rfam:Citrus clementina cultivar Clemenules unplaced genomic scaffold scaffold_4, whole genome shotgun sequence.
UUAAAACGGAGAUGUUGGAACGGCUCAAUCAAAUCAAAUAUCCUAUGAAAUCAAUUGGGUCCUUUAAUUUGAUUGAGCCGUGCCAAUAUCUCCUCUCGUCUU